ACAGCCAAGGCUCCAAGUAAUGUGAAUGUGUGUACGUGUGAAGAAGCAAAUAACAAGAAGCAAGACUUCAGCCAAUAGUACUCUGUUCUCCAACUAAGUACUCUGUUUUCUCUUAGUCCUUCACGAGCUCUCUCUGCCCAUUUAUAACAAGUCCCUUGCUACACAAAAAAAAAUAAAAAUACCAACAAGAAGAAGCCCCUGGCGAAGAAGGAGCCUCCGACCGGGCCGGAGCGCCAGGUGUUCCAGUGCCCGGCGAAGUGCCCGGAGUGCGGAGCGCAGUACGCGUCCAUGGUCACCGUGCAAGGACCCGACCAGGCUACUACGACUAUCAAGUCCCGAACAUGAGUAAACCGUUGCUUCCAUGCCACUAGAUGCUGGCGCCGCUACUUCAAAAAACAGACUAGAGGAGAACUCGGUUAAUACUGAGCACCCAGCACAGCAGUGAACACCUCGGUUGGCCAUCAUCUCUUUCACGGUUUGAGUUUAUAUUCUAUUGGAGGGACGAUACGUGAAAGGCAACAACGUCGGAAUUCAUAAUAAAAGCAAAGAAAGGAAGGUACUUGAAACAUGUAGUAAAAUAGUAUAUUCUCUAUUAGAUAUUGUAUUAGAUAUUGCAUGAGUAACACCUGUGUUACCCCUAAUUUAGAAAAUCGUUUGUCUGAGUCAAAAGAAGAUACAAUAUCUAGACAACAAA